GUCAUUAAAUCAUGACUUUAAAAACUGUAGGUGUGCUGCCGGCCAUUUAAAAAGGAAUAUGCUCUUUUCUUGAAGGUUAUGUUGUCGUAUCGGUUCGGAACUACUGCUGCUGGAAGUUGCUUCCAAAGAAUGGUUGUGCGUGGAAGAAAGUGCAUUGAAAAACGCACGGUGGAGGACCGCCGCUCGUUCUGAUGAUUGGCAUGAAACUUUAGUUUGUUUGUUUUGCAUUUUCAAUUCUUACGAUUAGAUGGAAACAUAAAUUUUGUUACUAAUUAUUUUAAUAUACAGACUUUUUGACCUCAUGACUGAUAA